CCGCUGAUCCUCUCCUCUCCGAGCCAUGCCCUAACUGACCCAGCGAGUUCCUUCCUCAAUAGAUACGGAUAGAAUUCUAGAUUUGGAAGAUCGUGAGAUGAUUUCAAUGUUGGUUCUAUUUUGGCAUGCUAGUCUAAGAUCUCUGGAUGGAUUUGGAUGAAUCGAGGACGUUGAUUGAAGACGGUUGACA